rnacentral:rRNA from 1 species
CCUACGGGAGGCAGCAGUGGGGAAUAUUGCACAAUGGGGGAAACCCUGAUGCAGCGACGCCGCGUGAGUGAAGAAGUAUUUCGGUACGUAAAGCUCUAUCAGCAGGGAAGAAAAUGACGGUACCUGACUAAGAAGCCCCGGCUAACUACGUGCCAGCAGCCGCGGUAAUACGUAGGGGGCAAGCGUUAUCCGGAUUUACUGGGUGUAAAGGGAGCGUAGACGGCAGCGCAAGUCUGGAGUGAAAUCCCAUGGCUUAACCAUGGAACUGCUUUGGAAACUGUGCAGCUAGAGUGCAGGAGAGGUAAGCGGAAUUCCUAGUGUAGCGGGGAAAUGCGUAGAUAUUAGGAGGAACACCAGUGGCGAAGGCGGCUUACUGGACUGUAACUGACGUUGAGGCUCGAAAGCGUGGGGAGCAAACAGGAUUAGAUACCCCUGUAGUC